GCAAAAGAUGAUCAAGAAGAGCAUGAAAAAAUCCCCUGAAUCAAUUGGCUUGCUUCCCUAUACUGACAACAAUUUACGUGUGGAACCUCAAAGAAUUCAAAUAUGCUACUUAGUAUACACACUGAUGUUUGCUCACCCUCUGAGUGUAUGCUCAAAUUUUAUCGUGGCUUAUCUUCUCCAAAAAAUGGGUCGAAAUUUCUGUAGAAUAGACAAAUCAAGGAUGAUGACUUCUUAAGAUGCAGUAUUCAAGUUCAGAAAUCUAUACUCAGAUGACCUUGUGUAGGUCAUCUGCGUCUGAGGUUUAUCUCACCAGUGGUAACUGAAAUGGCAUCCUGACUCAAGCUGUACACAUUUGCAAUAUCUGAUUUUUAACCACACACUCAUCAUCCUAUUGACCCAGAGUGAAAAUUGAUACUCUUAUCUGAAGGACUGUUCCCUUGAGUAUAUUUAAACCAGACCAAUCUCUGUGUUUAAUCUGGGUUCAUCAGGAACCAUUAGCCUUGAUUGGUUUGUUUUUCUCCCCCUCCAUCUCAGGACUUGAUUCUAUUGAGUUAACAACUAUUCU